UGUCGAGCCCUGCAAAUGGCAGGUGAGAAACUUGUAUUGUCAUUUCGUAGUUGGUGUCUAGGAACCAGGAACUAGGAGUACUUCACUGGAAUUUUACAAGAAGAUUGUCAGGAGUUCAAAAAGUAUACAUAGGUAGAUGCACACUGGCCCUGGUCUAAAUACAGUUCAGGGUAGUGAACGGUAGACCAGACAAUGAUAGAUUGAGGUGAGAGUGUUUAUGUAGCAUACUUGACUGUUGAGUGCAGGUGUGGGUGAUCAAUAAUCAGAUGACAGGGAUCUGUUAAUUGUUAUCUUAAUUUUACAGUGUUGUAAAUAUAACUUAAUUAAAUCUGAACAGUCACAUUCCUAGAAAAUAAACAUACAGACAGACUGAUUAGAGUGAUUACCUCCCAGAGCUGUAAGCGAGCAGGAGCCUCAGUUCCUCACUGUUUUUGACCUGGUGUGUCACUUUCAGGUGCUGGCUUAGAUUUUUAUAAUCUAAGUUGCAAAGGGGGCAACUUGACAACAUCCUGCAAAAACAAACACAAAAAAAUUUAUGUUAGAAAAUGUUAAUUUUAUAAGACAAUAAGAACAUUAUAUUUCACUCUUUUCUGAGCAUUUUGAAAUUAAAUAUGCUUAAGUAGUAAGUUAAAAUUGGUACUGAAACCAGAUAUUAAACAAGCCCUGGGGCUUAAUUAUGAAAGACCACUCUAUUGAUUAGCUUGGACAUUACCAGUAUCUGUAUACUGCUUUUGGCACUGUAGAAAUGAACACAAAACACAUACUUUUUUACUAUGGAGGACCAAAUUACUCAAAUACAUAAAUGAAUUCAAUAAAACUAAAAUUAAAUGUACAAGUUUAUGCUGAAAUAAUUAUUAGCUAAAUAAAUCAAUAAAUAAAUAAAUGCAUCUGUUUAUUGUGUAAAUAGCAGACACUUGGAUGGAAUAAUUAAAGAAAUGUUUAUGUAUUGAAAUGGACUAAGAAAAAAAAAAUACUACGUUUUUAAUCAAAAACGCAGCUCUAGCUCUAGUACUUCUCUAUCUAAUGUGGCAGACAGGCCAAUGCCAUUGCAAUACAUCUUGAAAUAGUAGAUGAUUUACAUUAGUGUUGUCACAGUACCAAAAUUUCAGUAUUCGGUACCGAUACCAGUAAAAAUCCACGGUUCUUGGUACCAAUUUCGGUACCAAAGCAAAACACAAAAAUAUGCUAAUAAAAAAAUGUUUUUAUAACUAAAAAUAAAACCAAUACCAUUCUUCAUACUUAUUUACAAUUGUGUUUGAAGGUGCCCUAGAAUGUGUUGAAAUAAUAUUUUAAAUUUGUCUCCUAUAUCUACAUAGAGGGUAUUGUGGCUUAUUUAAAACAACCAGAUGGUUUUACAGGUCCAUUUUCAACCCUAGAAAUUGGCCCUAGAAUUAAAUGGUCUGUUUAUACUUUAAUUGGAAGGGUAAUGAAUAGUAAUGAGUUCUGCUCUGAUUGGCUGUUUCACUGCUGGCUCAUCACAGUAGCUCAGAGCGACAGCAAACAGGUCUGACAUCCAGCAUGACAAUUCAGAGAUUUGGCUUUCAACUGUACAUGUUUGAGCUUGUUUCAGAUGAUGAUGCCGAUUUUUGAGGAACAACCAGUUGUUCUUCAACCUAAACGUUAACUAGCAUAUAGCAUUAACUUUACAAACGUCAGCAGUCACAAUUUUAGGGCAUGGUAAAAACAUGUAAAUUAUUAUGUCACCAUAUAACUAUACAAUGAUAGGUUUUUCACAUUGAAUCAAGAACAAAAAACAGUGAACCGUGUAGCGUGUGAAUGUAUUGUUUGGAGAAGUUUUUACAGUAAGUUAGCCUAUUAAAAUCAAUUUUGCCAACAAAAGUACACUAUAGAAGCCACUCAAUAUAGUCAAUGUCAUGUUUAUUACUCCGCUGCUUUACUGUGAUUAGGAUUUAGCCUAAUAAUAACAAAAACUUCUAAGGUCAAUCUUUUUUUUACAGGUUUACUUGUGGAAAUUGUGCACGCAUGGCCCUCGAGAGAGAAAAUAUAUGUUGCAGGGAAAUACCACAUGGCACAAGAAGAAUGAGAAAAGUGCCUAAUACAAUAUCAUGCAUGACAGACCAUCCUGGCCUUGAACCUGUGUUUCUCAAUAUAUACUGUAUUCUUUGCAAAAUGAAUGUAUAUAGAGCUGACCAUGGGCGUGUUAGAGUCAGAGGGAUGGAAAGGUAAGGUUACAUUUUGUGUAAAUAAUUGGGCUCUGUUACAUCCAUAUUACAUCAUGAGUUUAAUGCAUUACACAGCCAUA